rnacentral:rRNA from 1 species
AUUGAACGCUGGCGGCGGGCUUAACACAUGCAAGUCGGGCGGGGAAAGGUAGCUUGCUACCUGACCUAGUGGCGGACGGGGGAGUAAUGCUUAGGAAUCUGCCUAUUAGUGGGGGACAACAUUCCGAAAGGAGUGCUACUAACGCAUAAGCCCUACGGGGGCAAGCAGGGGGGCUUCGGACCGUGCGCUAAUAGAUGAGCCUAAGUCAGAUUAGCUAGUGGGUGGGGUAAAGGCCUACCAAGGCGACGAUCUGCGGCGGGUCUGAGAGGAUGAUCCGCCACACUGGGACUGAGACACGGCCCAGACUCCUACGGGAGGCAGCAGUGGGGAAUAUUGGACAAUGGGCGAAAGACUGAUCCAGCCAUGCCGCGUGUGUGAAGAAGGCCUUUUGGUUGUAAAGCACUUUAAGCGAGGAGGAGGCUACCGAGAUUAAUACUCUUGGAUAGUGGACGUUACUCGCAGAAUAAGCACCGGCUAACUCUGUGCCAGCCGCCGCCGUAA